rnacentral:rRNA from 1 species
UACGUAGGUCCCGAGCGUUGUCCGGAUUUAUUGGGCAUAAAGCGAGCGCAGGUGGUUUAUUAAGUCUGGUGUAAAAGGUAGUGGCUCAACCAUUGUAUGCAUUGGAAACUGGUAGACUUGAGUGCAGGAGAGGAGAGUGGAAUUCCAUGUGUAGCGGUGAAAUGCGUAGAUAUAUGGAGGAACACCGGUGGCGAAAGCGGCUCUCUGGCCUGUAACUGACACUGAGGCUCGAAAGCGUGGGGAGCAAACAGG